ensembl:snRNA U6 U6 spliceosomal RNA
UCACUUUAGUAGCACAUAAACAAAGAUUGGAACAAUACAGAGAAGAUAAGUAUGGCUGCUGUCUAAGGAUGGCACACAAAUUCUUGAAGCAUUCCACAUUUUA